UACGAAGGGGGCUAGCGUUGUUCGGAAUUACUGGGCGUAAAGCGCACGUAGGCGGUUUUGUAAGUCAGGGGUGAAAUCCCGGGGCUCAACCUCGGAACUGCCUUUGAUACUGCAAAUCUCGAGUCCGAUAGAGGUGGGUGGAAUUCCCGGUGUAGUGGUGAAAUGCGUAGAUAUCGGGAGGAACACCAGUGGCGAAGGCGACUACCUGGCCUGUUCUUGACGCUGAGGCGCGAAAGCUGGGGGAGCAAACGGG
rnacentral:rRNA from 1 species